CUAACUAUAAAUUCAUCACAUCACAUACCAUUAAGAUAUCUAGCUUCGAAUAUUUAAAUCCAUGGAAUGGAAUUAGGGAUUCCAUUCAUGAGAUUCCAUCAACGCUAGAUCCAAACCAUAAAUUGAAUCAUUUUAAAGUCAUUCAAUGUCCAAAUGAAUGUUCCAAGUGCAUAACAUCAUGCUAAAACUGUAACACCGUGAUUUCCAAAAACAAAAUUUUCAUUUAAAUAAUCAAUUUAAUAUUAAAAACACUUGUUUAAAAUCUUAUUCACAUUCGAAUUACAAAACAUAGUUUCAUUUUCUUUAUAAUAGAAGACCAGGAUCCUCCAAAACACAACUCUUUCUUCGGUGUGUACAAUCGAACCGUUGCCAUCCCGCGUUACUGUAAGAACCUGAAACAACAUAACAUAAACAACGUAAGCACGAAGCUUAGUGAGUUCCCCAAUAUACCUUACGCACAUACGUCUUCCGGCCCGGACCUUUCGGUCCACAUAACAUUGCCUUCCGGCCCAGACUUUUCGGUCCACAUAACAUUGCCUUCCGGCCCGGAUCUUUCGAUCCACAUAACAUUUGCCUUCCGGCCCGGAUCUUUCGAUCCACAUAACAUUUGCCUUCCGGCCCGGAUCUUU
rnacentral:lncRNA from 1 species